ensembl:antisense 2010310C07Rik RIKEN cDNA 2010310C07 gene
AUACUUGGGGAUCAGGCCUUUGGGAAGCAACUUGGAUUAGAUGCCAUCACCAGGGAGCAAAAGGGAGUGGAGAAGCUGUGAGCUGGUGUUGCUUGCUUAGCGUGCACGUUAUAUGAAAGAGGUUGGAAAAUGAGUAUAAGAAGCUACAAAAGGGAGAUCUCACAACAAAGUUAAAAAACAUCGCUGCACAACCACUUUAGUAUUUCAAUUCAUUUCUGCCUCAUCGGAGUGUGAGAGUGGGCAAGUCAGUACUGUGAAGAAGCCAUGAUCCAGAUUCCUUGUGGUAAUACUUGUGGACGCUUUGUGAGAAACCCUGCUUUCCUACCCUGUCUUGUUUGCAUGACAGCCUGAGAAGGCAGCAAUGCCAACCUGAAGAAUUAACGUGUGGUUUUUAGUAACACCCAAGCAGGUAGUGGGUGGGAGGAAAAGGAAGAGAGCAGAUGUCUUAGUGAACCCAGGCAUGUUAAAAAUUUAAUAAGGGCAGGCCGAGGCAAGUGCUGAACACAACCCCCUAGGAACACAGUGAGAUCUUGGUCAUUGUCAAAAGUUUACUAGUUAGAUCUUGGGAGAGGAAAGGAGAAUGGCAAACUGAUUCUUGUUUAAAGUUGAUUUUUAGUUUAUCAAGCAUGGGAGGGGAGAGGGCUAAAAUAAGCUGCCAACUAUGUCUUUCAGGCUAGCAGAGUUUACUUCUAGAAUGUGUUGCCAGUCUAGGCUGGAAUCUCUAGGGAAUUUACUUCUACAGAGAGCCAGGAAGAAAAUUGGCAUAAGCCACCCUGAGUUCUGGGCCAGCCUUGCCUACACAGUGAUUUCCAGGACAGCAAAGGCUAAACAGGGAGACUCUGUCUGAAAAACAAAAACCAGUCCCCUAACCCCCAAAUUGAAAAGGACUUAGAAGUAUGAGACCUUUCAUUUGAGCAUAGAUUGAAUGUCUUUCAAUUUUUGAUCAGAAGAAGUUUUUAAUCAAAUAAUUCUAACAGAUAACUUAAAAUUUUAUCUUAGUUACCUUUCUUUUGCUGUGGUGUGAGUAAGGCAACUUACAGAAGAAGCGAUUUUAUUUUGGAGUUAAAGUUCCGGAAGCUUGGAGUCCGCCAUGGCAGAUCACGGCUAGCUGGGGUAGCAGCUGAGAGCUCCCAUCUUGGAUAGCAGACGGGAAGCAGAGAGUGAACUUGAACUGGUGCGAAUCCUUUGAAGUCUCAAGUUUGCUCUGGUGAAGUCCUUCCUAGGCUGCACGGAUAAUCCGUCCCACAUAGCCACCCACUGAGGAGCAUCUAUUCAAAUGUCUGAGACUUAUGAGGGACAUCUCAUUCAAAUGGUCACACAUUUCUUCUAAUUCCCUUAGAAAGGUAUUGUUAUAAAUUACUGUUAUAUAUACUAUAUAUUAUAAACACAUUUUAUACAGAUGCAUUUUACAUUAUAUAUUCCAAAUGCUAUUAUAAAGUUACUACUAUACAUACUAUAAAUUACAUAUAUUCUACAUACAGUUUCAAAGUUACUAUUCUAUAGACACACUCAUGCAUACAUAUUAGCAAAUAAAGACAAUAACAACUGCUGGUAAGAAACCAAUGUACAACUUUCUAAAUCUAUCCCUUCCUCCCCAAACCAGGCCAUACAGUCUGAGAGCCACCUAGUGAUCAAGGUUGGUAACUGCAGCUGCUCUUUAGCACUCCAGGUAUUCCAGCCAUUGAAAUUUGUUUACAAAAAUCAGAUAAUACCAGGUAAACACUUCUUUUCAAUGGACUGCGUUAGUGGUAGGACUUUCACAUAUUAUUUCACAUAUGAUUUAAAAGAUGGGUAGGCUGUGAGGCAGAAAGAUUUCUUGAUUUCCUCAUCUCAGUAAGAAAGGCCUUCCAACCAGGCCAGGAAGGAAAGGAGUUUUUUGCGAAGUGGCUUAACUGUUGAACUGGUGGCUUCAAAUACAAAAGCAGAGAGCUAGUGGUUGAGGAAGUGCCUGCUGAGAUAAAAGGGCCAACACAGUAGGCUGUUUGUGCUCCAUUUUCCUCAGGAGAGAGUGGUUUACAAGGUUGCAGUAUUCUCAUGCUAACUAACCUCUGAGCCAGGCAUCGACUUACAAAAAUGUAGUGUUCCUUUUCUUCCUCCACAUGCCCCCACUUCCUUUUCUUUCUUACUGAUUUCCGUUCCUCCUUCCUUUUUCUUUUGUCAUUCCCUCUCUUCCCUCCUUGUUUGGAAUUCCAGUAUAAUAAAGUAAAAGGAAGGUCUAAACCCUG